rnacentral:rRNA from 1 species
CCUACGGGGGGCAGCAGUGGGGAAUAUUGGACAAUGGGGGCAACCCUGAUCCAGCCAUGCCGCGUGUGUGAAGAAGGCCCUCGGGUUGUAAAGCACUUUCAGUGAGGAAGAACGCCUGGUGGUUAAUACCCAUCAGGAAAGACAUCACUCACAGAAGAAGCACCGGCUAACUCCGUGCCAGCAGCCGCGGUAAUACGGAGGGUGCGAGCGUUAAUCGGAAUUACUGGGCGUAAAGCGCGCGUAGGUGGCUUGAUAAGCCGGUUGUGAAAGCCCCGGGCUCAACCUGGGAACGGCAUCCGGAACUGUCAAGCUAGAGUGCAGGAGAGGAAGGUAGAAUUCCCGGUGUAGCGGUGAAAUGCGUAGAGAUCGGGAGGAAUACCAGUGGCGAAGGCGGCCUUCUAGACUGACACUGACACUGAGGUGCGAAAGCGUGGGUAGCAAACAGGAUUAGAUACCCCAGUAGUC